rnacentral:lncRNA from 1 species
CAUAUUUUUCAUAUUGAAAUUCAUAACCACACUUUCAUUAACAGCACAACUCAUAGUAUAUUUACAAUACUAUUCACAACAUACUUGUCUCACACCUAUCUAUGCUAAGACAGGGUUUACAAAAGGGAUGGGAUCUCAGUCCACAUCCGGGUUAUAUUCAAGAUCCCUCUCUGGAUCGUCUUCUUCUUCAAAAGUCUUUCUCCCCUUCAGGUUCCUCUUCCUUAGCUUCUCCUCAGGGUCCUGAAAUGGUUAUUCAAUAACCAAUGAGACCACGUCUCAGCGAGUCCUGCCCCCUAAGACUCGAUUAGAAAGCCAAUACACUAUAGGCUGCCUAAACACAGCACGAGUUGGAGGACUUACCUUGGCCUCAGAUUCCAUCUACAUAUUAGUACAGUUCAAUAGGCAUUCAAACAAUCACAUCACCGAUCGAAGCAUCGAUCGAAUCGACCUAGUCAAUUUCAUAUCAGUCGGACCCUUUCUAGGUCGUUCAUCCUACUUCAAGCAAUUCCUUAAAUUUAGUGGCUUUACGGUCCCACCCGACCCUCUCAAGAACUAGUGGCUUUACGGUCCUACCCGACCCUCUCAAGAACUAGUGGCUUUACGGUCCCACCCGACCCUCUCAAGAACUAGUGGCUUUACGGUCCCACCCGACCCUCUCAAGAACUAGUGGCUUUACGGUCCCACCCGACCCUCUCUAGAUUCAAUUUAGGAAUAAAUCUUAAAUUCACUCAUAAAUUACUUUAGCACCAAAUAAAGCUCAAAUAAAUAAACGGACUGCACCACGACAAUCAGCACGAAAUUCCAGUCACCGGCCAUCCCGGUUGAAUUUCCAGAAAAAUAAAUAAUUAAAUAAUUAAUUUCGAAAAUUAAAUAAAUAAUUAUAAAAAUCCAAUUUAGGCUCAUAAUGCCGAAUUGAAUACCGAGACAAGCCCGGAAAAUUACCGAGACUCGUUCCAUAAAUAACAUGGCAUGUCUACUUGCUAAUAUCUAUUUCUAACCACCUAUCAUGCAUCAUUAAGUCUCUAAUUUAAUUGAUCUAAACUAAUCUAACCACCUAAUUGCAUUUAAUUAAAUCUAACCAACCUUAAGUAUAAUUAGCAAACUAAGAAAGCUUUAGUGAGUAAAACUCACUUGAUAAGAACAAAGACCAGAUCACCGCAACGGCGACGCGACGGCGGCCGAAAUCGGGCUUUCGAAACCACCGGCGGACUUGGACCGGGCCUUAAGCUUGGCCCCAACAAAUCUCAGCCCAACUGAGAUUUGUUCUUGCUUUUGGGCCAGACCCAAGUUGGGUUGGGCCUGCUGAAUUUCUGGACUGAAUUUACUUGAGCUUCAAAUUGCGGGCUGGACUUCAAUUGAUUGCCGGAAACUGGGCCUAGAAAAAGACUGGGCUGUUGGACUCUUGCGGGCUUGAAAUGGCCCUCAUUUGGACUGAAUCUUGCUGGGCCCGAAUUGCUGAAAGUGCUGGACUGGAGACAUGGCCCAAAUCGCUAGAGUUUGCUGGGCCGUUUGCGGGUGGUGGGCUGCGCUUUGCUCGAUCCCACGAGCUGGCUUCGAGGAUGACGACACGCCCGAGGAAAGUGCAAGCCACGAAAAGGGUGCAGCUGGCCGAGACGGUGGGAUUCGAUUGAGACAGCCUCCGCGAAGCAGGGAUUUGUUCGUUGAAGGCGCAAGCUGAAGGAAAGUCGGACGCGUGGGCUGGCGUUGCGGACGAGAUGCAGUCAACGAAGGGGCUUCGGCGUGGCUUGAAGUUGACUGAGAGAAGUUGGAUCGCGGACAGAUGGCGCGGAUGAGGGGCAGUUUCGCUGGACUGCUGGUUGCUGACUUUUGGUGGAGGCUGGCGUGAGUGGCCGACCAAAGUUGAUGCUGCCUUCGGUGAACUGAUUUUGAAGGCACGAAGGAAGACCGAAGAUGAGUGGUCUUCGCUGGAGAUGCUGGCGUGCGACGCUGAAAAUGGGCAGCUUCGGUCUUUGAGAUUCACGGGUGUUGCUCAGUCAACAAACGAGGCCAUCGAGGAAGGCUCUGACCGAAGGGGACCAACGGUAGUGGGGGCUGGCGUGAACUUCAGUUUUCGAAGAGAAGAGCUGCAGGUUCUCCACCGAAGAAAAAUGAAAGCGGAACGGCAGAGAAUCAAGAAAUCGAGAGGAAGAGGAUGGGGAUGAACGGUGGGGUAGGUAUGAGGGAGAUA